rnacentral:rRNA from 1 species
AUACGAAGGGUGCAAGCGUUAAUCGGAAUUACUGGGCGUAAAGCGCGCGUAGGUGGUUCGUUAAGUUGGAUGUGAAAGCCCCGGGCUCAACCUGGGAACUGCAUCCAAAACUGGCGAGCUAGAGUAUAGCAGAGGGUGGUGGAAUUUCCUGUGUAGCGGUGAAAUGCGUAGAUAUAGGAAGGAACACCAGUGGCGAAGGCGACCACCUGGGCUAAUACGGACACUGAGGUGCGAAAGCGUGGGGAGCAAACAGGAUGAGAUACCCUGGUAGUCCACGCCGUAAACGAUGUCGACUAGCCGUUGGGAUCCUUGAGAUCUUAGUGGCGCAGCUAACGCAUUAAGUCGACCGCCUGGGGAGUACGGCCGCAAGGUUAAAACUCAAAUGAAUUGACGGGG